rnacentral:rRNA from 1 species
AGUCUGGUGCCAGCAGCCGCGGUAAUACCAGCUCUUCUAGCAUAUAUUAAAGUUGCUGCAGUUAAAACGCUCGUAGUUUGAAUUAUUUCGGUGGCAGGCUGGCUGAAAAAUUUAAUUUUUCAAGCUGUCUGGUGCCGAAUUAAAGUUUGGGUAGAGCAGAUUAAUUUCUCUCUAUCCAUUUAACCUUGAAAAAACAUUGUCGCUCAAAAAAGGACGGAAAAGUCUAUUGAGAUUUCAGCAUGGGAUUAUGAAAAAAGGGGGGCGGGUUUCGAGAGGGGGUAAAAGCCCGAUUGGCUCGUUUCCAAUGGUUAAUGAGGACGAUGCGUGGGAGUUCAUAUUAAUAAGUCAGAGGUGAAAUUCUUGGAUUUUAUUAAGAUGAACAUCAGCGAAGGCGUUCUUCAAGUGCGUGCCUGUCGAUCAAGAACGAAAGUUGGGGGAUCGAAGACGAUCAGAUACCGUCGUAGUCUCAACCUUAAACUAUGCCGACUAUGAAUAGGAUAUCGUUUUAAGAAGGGCGUCAAAAACCCUUCUGAUGACUUCUCCUGCGCAUUAAAAGAAAUUAAGAGUUUUUGGGUUCCGGGGGGAGUAUAGUCGCAAGGCCGAAACUUAAAGGAAUUGACGGAAGGGCACCACCAGGUGUGGAGCCUGCGGCUUAAUUUGACCCAACACGGGGAAACUUACCAGGUCCAGACAGCGUGAGGAUUGACAGAUUGAUAGCUCUUUCAUGAUUCGUUGGGUGGUGGUGCAUGGCCGUUCUUAGUUGGUGGUGUGAGUUGUCUGGUUGAUUCCGUUAACGAACGAGACCUUCGUUGUAUAAUACGAGGCGCUAGUUUUUGCGUCAAGGGUAGUGGCUCCUUCUUGAGAUACGAGCAAUCGCCUUGGGAAAAGGGUCAUUACUUGCAUAGCUAGCGUCAGUUUCGUUCUAUACAAGACAAAUACAGAAAAUGUAUUGGAAGUUGUAGGCAAAAACAGGUCUGUGAUGCCCUUCGAUGUUCUGGGCUGCACGCGCGCUACAAUGACAAUGUCAGCGAGUUUUUUAGCUUGGGCGAAAGCUCUGGCAAAUCUUCGAAACGUUGUCGUACUAUGGAUUGUUGAUUGCAACUAUUCGACAUAAAACAGGAAUACCUAGUAGACGUGCUUCAUCAGAGUACGUCGAUUACGUCCCUGCCCUUUGUACACACCGCCCGUCGCUCCUACCGAUUGGAACAUACGGUGAAAAUCUCGGAGAGUGCAGUUCUAGAUGGGUAGUUCGCUAUUCAUCUCCUGUGUUCAAAGUUAUU